AGAGUUUGAUGGUGGCUCAGGACGAACGCUGGCGGCGUGCUUAACACAUGCAAGUCGAACGAAAAGAGGGAAAGAGCUUGCUCUUUCCGGAAUUGAGUGGCAAACGGGUGAGUAACACGUAAACAACCUGCCUUCAGGAUGGGGACAACAGACGGAAACGACUGCUAAUACCGAAUAAGUUCCAAGAGCCGCAUGGCCCAUGGGAGAAAAGGUGGCCUCUACCUGUAAGCUAUCGCCUGAAGAGGGGUUUGCGUCUGAUUAGCUGGUUGGAGGGGUAACGGCCCACCAAGGCGACGAUCAGUAGCCGGUCUGAGAGGAUGAACGGCCACACUGGAACUGAGACACGGUCCAGACUCCUACGGGAGGCAGCAGUGGGGAAUCUUCCGCAAUGGGCGAAAGCCUGACGGAGCAACGCCGCGUGAGUGAUGACGGCCUUCGGGUUGUAAAACUCUGUGAUCCGGGACGAAAAGGCAGAGUGCGAAGAACAAACUGCAUUGACGGUACCGGAAAAGCAAGCCACGGCUAACUACGUGCCAGCAGCCGCGGUAAUACGUAGGUGGCAAGCGUUGUCCGGAAUUAUUGGGCGUAAAGCGCGCGCAGGCGGCUUCCCAAGUCCCUCUUAAAAGUGCGGGGCUUAACCCCGUGAUGGGAAGGAAACUGGGAAGCUGGAGUAUCGGAGAGGAAAGUGGAAUUCCUAGUGUAGCGGUGAAAUGCGUAGAGAUUAGGAAGAACACCGGUGGCGAAGGCGACUUUCUGGACGAAAACUGACGCUGAGGCGCGAAAGCGUGGGGAGCAAACAGGAUUAGAUACCCUGGUAGUCCACGCCGUAAACGAUGGAUACUAGGUGUAGGAGGUAUCGACCCCUCCUGUGCCGGAGUUAACGCAAUAAGUAUCCCGCCUGGGAAGUACGAUCGCAAGA
rnacentral:rRNA from 1 species